CAAUAGAAAAAGUACGGAAAAUCAAGGAAAACAAGUGAAAAAGGUGCUGAGUCCUCCGAUAAAAGCAAAGGAAUUGCACUCGAGGACCAGUAAUCUGAGUACUUCGAAAAUCCCCAUUCUAGACAUUGUUCAGAUUAGACUGUAGAUAGCUGAGUUCAUCGAGGACUACCCUUGGAUUUGCAUUCCUUCAAACUAUAGGUUCACAGUCCUCUUUACUUUUGUUUAUUCGGGGAUGGCCACUUGUUAUUGUAAAUUAAAUUAAAUA
rnacentral:sRNA from 1 species